GGCUUAUUGAGUGAUAAUUUUAAGUCAAUUCUGCCCAAUGAUUAAAAAAUUUAAUGGCUGCAGUAUAAUUGACUGUACAAAGGUAGCAUAAUCAAUUGUUUUUUAAUUAAGAACUGGAAUGAAAGAGUUAAUGAGAUAUAUUCUGUCUCAUAUAUAUUUAAUUAAUUUAAAUUUUUAGUUAAAAUGCUAAAAUUGAUUUAUGGGACGAUAAGACCCUAUAGAAUUUAAUAUUAAUAUAUUGAUUAUAAUUUAAUUAUUAAAUAUUAAUAUUUUGUUGGGAGGAUAGAUAAAUUUAUAAAACUUUAUUUUAAAUAUUAACUUUAAUUAAAGAAUAAAUAUUUUUGAUCUUAUAAUAAAAAUUGAAAGAAUAAAUUACCUUAGGGAUAACAGCGUAAUAUCUUUUUAAAGAUCAUAUUGAAAAAGAUGAUUGCGACCUCGAUGUUGAAUUAAGAUAAAUUUUAAAUGAAGAAAUUUAAUAAUUAAGUCUGUUCGACUUUUAAAAUCUUACAUGAUUUGAGUUCAAAUCGACGUAAGU
rnacentral:rRNA from 1 species